GAUGAACGCUGGCGGCGUGCUUAACACAUGCAAGUCGAACGAUGAAGCCCAGCCUGCUGGGCGGAUUAGUGGCGAACGGGUGAGUAACACGUGAGUAACCUGCCCUUGACUCUGGGAUAAGCCCGGGAAACUGGGUCUAAUACCGGAUAGGAGCGCCUGUCGCAUGACGGGUGCUGGAAAGAUUUUUCGGUCAUGGAUGGACUCGCGGCCUAUCAGCUUGUUGGUGAGGUAACGGCUCACCAAGGCGACGACGGGUAGCCGGCCUGAGAGGGUGACCGGCCACACUGGGACUGAGACACGGCCCAGACUCCUACGGGAGGCAGCAGUGGGGAAUAUUGCACAAUGGGCGGAAGCCUGAUGCAGCGACGCCGCGUGAGGGAUGACGGCCUUCGGGUUGUAAACCUCUUUCAGUAGGGAAGAAGCGAAAGUGACGUACCUGCAG
rnacentral:rRNA from 1 species